AGAGAAUAUUUCUGGGAAUAUUAAGAAGGGGUCACAAGGCAGACUCAGGGGUUGGGUUUUGUGUGUAACCAUGUGACCCCCACCUUUACAAGUGUCUGUAAUUCUCACUAGCAGUAUAUUAGAGGGCAAAAGAUUUGAACAGACACAUCAGAAAAGAAGACAUACAAAUGGCCGCUAAGCACUUGAAAGGAUUCUGAACACCAUUAGUCAUCAGUGAAAUGCAAAUUAAAGCCAUAAUGAAUGGCGCUAUACAUUUUCAGAAUGGCAAGGAUUGAAGACCGAAAAAAAUCAAGCGUUGAGGAGAGUGACAAAUGGGGAGACAGCCGUGGUGCAUGAUCGCCGAAUAAAUACCAUGUGAGGAUACAGCAAGAAGGUGGCCAUCUACAAGCCAAGGAGACAGGCCUCAGAAGAAACCAACCCUUCUUACACCCUGGACUCAGACUUCUAAUCUCCAGAACUGUAAGAAAAUAAAUUUCUGUUGCUUAUGCUGCCCA
rnacentral:lncRNA from 10 species